AAGAAAAUAUAGGAACUCUGUGUGGGGAUGACUACACCAUGAACCAAAUUAGCUUUAAUUUCGCAAUUGAUUAUAUUUAGAAGGUUUUGUUGGGAGAGUAUUCUCACACCCCCAAUGUCUCAUCCCCUCCCGUGGAGGGCAUUGAACUUAUGCGAUCACUCUGCAACUCUAAUAUGAUCAAGUUUCAGCAGCCUGCUGGGAGACAUUGGUGCCCUAACUGUGCUCCCGAGAUUUUUAGGGACAGGAGAUGAGAAAUAAUUUAUUUUUCUUUAAAAAGAAUAUAUUGUGUGCUUCCGAGUUUGAAGACAAGGGUAAAAACAUCUUCUCUUCUGCUUAGAUCUUUCCAAUUUGGAGAGAGUUUUGUCAAAAUCUAUUCUAACUUCUCUUCCAUCUUUUCUUUUCUCUCCUCAAAGAACUCUGGAGCCCGGAUUUUCUUCAGCAAUCUCCUCUUCUCUCCCAUUGUGGAUUCGGAUUGGCGAACACCAGCUGAUUACAGCUUACAAUAUUAGAGCAUCUCCAACGGUGUUGGCUAUAAUCGUUGGCUAAAUUGGACCUGUAAGACGUUAUGUAAAAUUUGUUGAAACUGUAAGACAUUUCUAUUCAAU
rnacentral:lncRNA from 1 species